ACAGUAGUGUCCGUUACCCAGGACUGUACCCACUUUAUCCCCAAUUCCCACGGAGAUAUCCCGAAUACCCUACAUACCCCACUGUUAGACAAUAUUGAAAGCUGUGAUUACACACAUAUCUGGAUGGCGGAAGGUGAAAGAGCACAAAGAGUUGUAUAAUUCAGUGAUCGAAAGAAGCUGAAAUACAACAAAGCGCGUGCAUCAGUUAACACCAUCCAGAACCCCUAAACAAAUCCAAAGUUUACCUAACCUGUUUACUGUUACAUAUGUUGUGUGAUACCUUACUUGUGAGAUUUGUGAUCUCAUUUAUGUUGUGGAAUUUGAACAAAUAAUUUUGCAAAAUAAAAUAUUUUUGUAUA